UGAGGAAUAUUGGUCAAUGGGCGGGAGCCUGAACCAGCCAAGCCGCGUGAGGGAUGAAGGCCCUAUGGGUCGUAAACCUCUUUUGUCAGGGAACAAAAGCGAGUAUGUAUACUAGUCUGAGUGUACCUGAAGAAAAAGCAUCGGCUAACUCCGUGCCAGCAGCCGCGGUAAUACGGAGGAUGUGAGCGUUAUCCGGAUUUAUUGGGUUUAAAGGGUGCGUAGGCGGCGAUGCAAGUCAGCGGUAAAAGCCCGGGGCUCAACCCCGGCGAGCCGUUGAAACUGCAGUGCUAGAGAAGGCGAGAGGUACGCGGAAUGCGCAGUGUAGCGGUGAAAUGCUUAGAUAUUGCGCGGAACUCCGAUUGCGAAGGCAGCGUACUGGCGCCUGACUGACGCUGAGGCACGAAAGCGUGGGGGAUCGAACAGGAUUAGAUACC
rnacentral:rRNA from 1 species